AGAAAAAUCCUGUUACAAAGCCAAAUAUGGAUGCCAGUCUGAAUCCAAAACGUCAAUAUGAUCACACGGCCAGUUCGGGAUUAGAGGAUGCAGAAACAUGGAAAGAUGUAGAAAUCGAUAAAUACUCUUUGUCAAGUCCUUACCAGAGCUAUCCUGCUGAUAAGGCAAAGGUGGACGACAACCAGGAAACCAGACGUCAAUAUGAUCACAAGG